rnacentral:rRNA from 1 species
UACGAAGGGUGCAAGCGUUAUUCGGAAUUACUGGGCGUAAAGGGUGCGUAGGCGGUUCGUUAAGUCUGUCGUGAAAUCCCCGAGCUCAACUUGGGAAUUGCAAUGGAUACUGGCAGGCUGGAGUAUGGUAGAGGAAGGUGGAAUUCCCGGUGUAGCAGUGAAAUGCGUAGAGAUCGGGAGGAACACCAGUGGCGAAGGCGGCCUUCUGGACCAAUACUGACGCUCAUGCACGAAAGCGUGGGGAGCAAACAGG